CCUACGGGUGGCAGCAGUGGGGAAUAUUGGGCAAUGGGCGCAAGCCUGACCCAGCAACGCCGCGUGAAGGAAGAAGGCUUUCGGGUUGUAAACUUCUUUUGACAGGGAAGAGUAGAAGACGGUACCUGUCGAAUAAGCCACGGCUAACUACGUGCCAGCAGCCGCGGUAAUACGUAGGUGGCAAGCGUUGUCCGGAUUUACUGGGUGUAAAGGGCGUGUAGCCGGGUUGACAAGUCAGAUGUGAAAUCCUGCGGCUUAACCGCAGAACUGCAUUUGAAACUGUUGAUCUUGAGUACUGGAGAGGCAGACGGAAUUCCUAGUGUAGCGGUGAAAUGCGUAGAUAUUAGGAGGAACACCAAUAGCGUAGGCAGGUUACUGGGACGGUUCUGACACUAAGGCACGAAAGCGUAGGGAGCAAACGGGAUUAGAUACCCCUGUAGUC
rnacentral:rRNA from 1 species